UGUUCUGUGGCUUAUUUGGUUAAAGCGCCAGAGUAACGAUAUGGAAUCGUGGGUUUGAAUCACACCAAAGCAA
rnacentral:tRNA from 1 species